rnacentral:lncRNA from 1 species
GACACCACUACCGACGACGCUACUAUCGGCCGACAGCCAUCUCCAACACCGAUAGUCCUCUCCAUCACAUCCUCUCUCUUCUUUCCUACCCAACAUCACUCACCAUCUCUGUCAUCCUAAACCUCCCAAUCAUUGCCCUAACAGUCAUGGUUGUGCUGCUCGGUCGCCUUAGAAAAUUAUACGACAACAACCUUCCCUACCCCACAUCUACACCAAAGUCAAGUUGAACCCUUCUCGGGUUUAUUCACCUUCUUCCCUACCCAACAUCACUCACCAUCUCUGUCAUCCUAAACCUCCCAAUUGUUGCCCUAACAGUCAUGGUUGUGCUGCUCGGUCGCCUUAGAAAAUUAUACGACAACAACCUUCCCCACCCCACAUCUGCACCAAAGUCAAGUUGAACCCUUCUCGGGUUUAUUCACCUUCUUCCCUACCCAACAUCAUUCACCAUCUCUGUCAUCCUAAACCUCCUAAUUGUUGCCCUAACAGUCAUGGUUGUGCUGCUCGGUCGCCUUAGAAAAUUAUACGACAACAACCUUCCCCACCCCGCAUCUACACCAAAGUCAAGUUGAACCCUUCUCGGGUUUAUUCACCUUCUUCCCUACCCAACAUCACUCACCAUCUCUGUCAUCCUAAACCUCCCAAUUGUUGCCCUAACAGUCAUGGUUGUGCUGCUCGGUCGCCUUAGAAAAUUAUACGACAACAACCUUCCCCACCCCCACAUCUACACCAAAGUCAAGUUGAACCAUUCUCGGGUUUAUUCACCUUCUUCCCUACCCAACAUCACUCACCAUCUCUGUCAUCCUAAACCUCCCCAAUCGUUGCCCUAACAGUCAUGGUUGUGCUGCUCAGUCGCCUUAGAAAAUUAUACGACAACAACCUUCCCGUUCCCACAUCUACACCA